CCCUUUGCUUGAGGAGCAAGAUUUGUAAGCAUAAUUUAUUUUUCAGAAUGAUUACAAAUCCUUUUACGAGAAUGAAUAUUCUGCUGUGAAUCAAAAAUACACUUGCAGUUUUUUAAUCUGCGCGUUCUGUUACUGUUGACACGCUAAAGAGAUUUGUAAAUUUGAAGAAAGAGAUUUCGCAAGCUCUGGGGACAGGACCUUUUACUCCUGACCAAUCAGUUCCCUUUGCCAAAACCACAGCCGCCUAACCAAUCUCAGGAAAUAGCUACCCACUUGAACAAGAGAGUAAAUAAAACAAAAAUGAUCUAUUCGAAGGUGGAGCGGGAGUAAGACCACUAGAAAGCAGCAUGCUGCCAGACCACCACAGGACCCUAGAGGCCUCAGCCUGCUGUGACAAGGGCCCGGAUGGUGACAUAUGCUUCAAGCUGCCUGACAAUACAGGGGCCUUCAGCAGUACCUUCCCUUUGAUUACAGCAAGAGUCUCCUUAUUAAGUCUUAUAGCCAUUUAACAUGUACUUUAUGUAACCACUCAAAUUCUUACAAACUUAUACGAAUACAUGAACAGACUUAUAUUCACUUGCCUCUGGCUGUGUUUACAGGCAGCCCAAUUCUGAUAUUUUUUCCACUAAUUGGUCUUUUGACCAAUCACAGAUCUUUUCACAUUGGUUCAUUUUUCAGAGCUGAUUGAUCAAAAGACCAAUUGGUGGGAGAAAAAAGUGUCAGACUUGGGCUGCCUGUAAACACAGCCUAUUUGUCCUAUUCGUCAGGCUUGUCUGGGAUAUCUAUAUUUUAGUUGGCACACCUGUGUGAUAUAUUUUAUAUAUGAAUAAUACUUUUUUCAGACUUGCAUUGAUUUUUAGACCUCUUUGAAUCAGAAGUGCAGUCUUGAUGGAUAAAGUCUGCAUGUUGUCAGAUGUUUAAGUAGUAGUUUGUAGUAUAGUAGUUCGUCAAAAUGAGAAGACCAGGCUGAAACAGUUGUGGUUUUGUAUUUUUUUUAAAUGAACAUGAGUAGUUUAUACAAAACUUGAUUGCAUUUGGUGGUCAUCCCUCCCCCAAAUUUGACCAUUUUUAAGCCUUGAUAUUUCCCUGAGGAAGGAUGCAACUUUCUGCUGAUACCUACCACCAUGUUGUCAGAGUUCCAUGGCCCAGCAGACUCCCCUGGGGAUGGGAGAUGGACAUCUUUAGUUUUUAUAAAAGUCUGGGAGACUUUUUUUAGAGGGAGGCGAGUGCAUUAGUUUGAGUGAGUACAGUAAGAGAGUUGACAUUGACGAUUGAGGGUUAUAAGGGUGCCUUCCAAUCACACAAAUUAUGCGUAAAAGACGGGGGGGGGGGCUAGACUUGUGUUGUGCUGUCCGUCAGAAAAGUUCCAAAGACUAUCCAUCAACCAAUUACAAACGUAAAACAGCAUUUUACCCCACCAAACAGAUAAGCAUUUCAUGUAUUUAGGUUUGAAGGUAGCCUUACUCUGUGGUUCAAGUUGUAUCUUCAUGUCUGUAACUUCACUCUCACUCCGUCUGACCCCUAAGCCCUCAUGCCUGACCUCCCAUUGGCCCAGGGCCUCUGGCAAAACCCUCUAAUCAGUCUCUCUGACAGGGAGUUACUCCAGGAGUUGACAGGUUUAUGGUGCAUAAGGUAUCGAUGUGUAUGCAUGCAUGACUUACAUGGAGUGCUCCAUGUUCCUGCUGGUUGCAGGGAAAUGGCAUGCCUUGGAGUAUGGUUGUAUCCAUCUCCACCAGGCUCCUGGAAAUCAUAUGACAAACCUGCAUAGAUUAACAAAAUAAAAUGGCAACUGUAUUUAUGCAGUUGAAGUCAUGACAGCCAUAGGUUCUUUACACAGGAGUGUACAGGUUUUUAUUCCAGCACUUCACUAACACCUCAUUCAACUAAUUGUGGUCUAAAUUGAACAAACACUUGUACACAGUUCAGUCCCUUGCCCAGAAAUCACCCACAUCUGUAUUAUUGAAUGAGCUUCCCAAGUUACAAGUUUAGCUACAAUUCUGCAUGAUAUAAAUAGAUCCACCCAGGUUAUUCUCUAUCUAACCAUGUGAAUAAACCCCCUAAACAAGAUGAUUAUCCUGGUGGUUAGGAGGUUCCCAAGUUCUUGACAUAUGUCUGGGUGUUAGGGAUGUGCUUCAACCUGAGGAAAAUGGCAGAGAGGGGGAAGACAUUAACCCCACUGCUUACAUUUCAGUGCGGCUCAUUUCAGUGAGCCACAUGUACCUUAAGUUUUUCAGUCACCAAAUAAUCAAUGAACAGGCAGUGAGGUAGUUUGACAAGUGUUCAAAGUCAGUAACAAGUCUUUAAAAUAUAGCUAGCAUGUUGGCAAGUACCUGGCCAGUAAUCUUCACCUGUCGACGGCAACAGCUUUCACAGGCUCAUCAUAAUGUAAAAAUAACCCCAAUUAUGAAACAUUUUAUUUAAACUGACAUUAUUUGUUGCAUAUAAUGUCCAGGACAUAACCUAGCCUGGUGGAUCCAGCCUGAUCUUUUUUUACCAUUCUAUUUCACUUCACAUUUGAUGAUAUCUGCAGUGAAGUAGAAAGGUGAACGAAGCGAUCCGGUUGGUUCCACCAGGACCAGGCUAUUUAGAACCACCAUUGAUAAUGUAAUCAGUGCUCUGUGUGUGUGUGACCCACCAGUACCUUUGAGGGGCCAGGAGCUGCUCUAUGCUGCUAUGCCCAUCAAUGGAGCUGUAGAAAAGACCUCACCUCCAGCCUCACCUUUUGCCUGCUCACCAACAGUUGUCAAUAGGGAGAACAGAAUAAGAAACAUGUAUGGAGGCAGCACAUGGAGACUUGGAAGAUGAUGUGAAGUCCAGACUGACAGGCGGGCUUGAUACUGAUGUCUCUGAAUGGAGAAAGACCUGGCACUCGGCAGUAACAUUUUACAAGACAACUUUUACCAUUUAAUUCAAUAAAAAAUAAAGGAUCAGACAAGAUGUGGAGGGAGAAACCCUGUGUUAUUCUGCACCAGGAUCAGGGAACUGCUGUUGUGAACAGGACACCACACAGGAAUUAUUAUAUAUUAUAAUAUUAUGUGAAGUGUUGUUUAUUCUACAUGGACCUGUGACUACAUCUGAAAGUUAGCAAAACACUUAGUUCAGAAUAUAUACAUAAAUUUAGCAAUUACAUUCAUCUCAUGUUACUCUUCAGGCUGCUGAUCUAUUCAAAGCUUCUCUAUAUCUGCCUGUAGUUAUUGAGCUCAACCUGCAGGAGGUGUGUUUGUUGUAACUGAGUGGGGGGAAACAGUUGUGGGCAAGGUUCUGACAGAUGGGUGUGUUUUGGUGGUGGCAAGGACAAACAAACACCUGCAUCAAACCACACCCCCAAGCCAACUCAGGUUUGGCUUCUGUCAUGGCCACCAGCAUUUCUUGAGGAGCAAGCCAAAAAACAAGGCCAAAUCAACAGGUGUAAUUCUCCUUUAAAUCAUCACACAAUCAUACAGUUGAUUUUAUUAAAACACUAUGUAUAAAAAAAAUUAUGUAAAAAAUGUCUACCAA